rnacentral:rRNA from 1 species
UACAGAGGUCUCAAGCGUUGUUCGGAUUCAUUGGGCGUAAAGGGUGCGUAGGUGGCGCGCUAAGUCAGGUGUGAAAUUUCGGAGCUUAACUCCGAAACUGCAUUUGAUACUGGCGUUGCUUGAGGACUGGAGAGGAGACUGGAAUUCAUGGUGUAGCAGUAGAAAUGCGUAGAGAUCAUGAGGAAGACCAGUGGCGAAGGCGGGUCUCUGGACAGUUCCUGACACUGAGGCACGAAGGCCAGGGGAGCAAACGGG